rnacentral:rRNA from 1 species
UACGUAGGGUCCGAGCGUUGUCCGGAAUUAUUGGGCGUAAAGGGCUCGUAGGCGGUUUGUCGCGUCGGGGAGUGAAAACUCAGGGCUCAACCCUGAGCGUGCUUCCGAUACGGGCAGACUAGAGGUAUGCAGGGGGAGAACGGAAUUCCUGGUGUAGCGGUGGAAUGACGCAGAUAUCAGGAGGAACACCGGUGGCGAAGGCGGUUCUCUGGGCAUUACCUGACGCUGGAGGAGCGAAAGCAUGGGGGAGCGAACAGG